GAUGAACGCUGGCGGCGUGCCUAAUACAUGCAAGUCGAGCGAACAGACGAGGAGCUUGCUCCUCUGACGUUAGCGGCGGACGGGUGAGUAACACGUGGAUAACCUACCUAUAAGACUGGGAUAACUUCGGGAAACCGGAGCUAAUACCGGAUAAUAUAUUGAACCGCAUGGUUCAAUAGUGAAAGACGGUUUUGCUGUCACUUAUAGAUGGAUCCGCGCCGCAUUAGCUAGUUGGUAAGGUAACGGCUUACCAAGGCAACGAUGCGUAGCCGACCUGAGAGGGUGAUCGGCCACACUGGAACUGAGACACGGCACAGACUCCUACGGGAGGCAGCAGUAGGGAAUCUUCCGCAAUGGGCGAAAGCCUGACGGAGCAACGCCGCGUGAGUGAUGGAGGUCUUCGGAUCGUAAAACUCUGUUAUUAGGGAAGAACAAAUGUGUAAGUAACUAUGCACGUCUUGACGGUACCUAAUCAGAAAGCCACGGCUAACUACGUG
rnacentral:rRNA from 1 species